AAAAAGAUAAAUCAUGGGUUUCCGUGUUCAACGUUUGACUGUUCGUCUUAUAUAAAAUUAUUUUAUAAUUAGUAUUUUCAUUGUUAUUAGAUGAUAAAACAUGAUUAAUAUUUUAUGUGUGACUUGUCUUUUUAAUUUUUUCUAUAAUUUUUUCAAAUAAGACGGACGAUCAAACGUUGGACACGGAAACCUAGGGUUUGUCUUCUU
rnacentral:pre_miRNA from 1 species